GGACACACACACACACACACACACACACACACACAACUGCAAAAACAAUGAUUUUUCACAGAACAGCAUCUUUCUAAAAUUCCACCUCAUAAUUAUUUUCCAGAUUUGAAAGAAUCCUUCAAGAUCCCACCAAGGAUCAGUUGGAAUUCCAAAUUUUGUGUGUGUGUGUGUGUGUGUGUGUGUGUGUGUGUUC